rnacentral:rRNA from 1 species
GUAGGGAAUCUUCGGCAAUGGACGGAAGUCUGACCGAGCAACGCCGCGUGAGUGAAGAAGGUUUUCGGAUCGUAAAGCUCUGUUGUUAGAGAAGAACGUUGGUAGGAGUGGAAAAUCUACCAAGUGACGGUAACUAACCAGAAAGGGACGGCUAACUACGUGCCAGCAGCCGCGGUAAUACGUAGGUCCCGAGCGUUGUCCGGAUUUAUUGGGCGUAAAGCGAGCGCAGGCGGUUCUUUAAGUCUGAAGUUAAAGGCAGUGGCUUAACCAUUGUACGCUUUGGAAACUGGAGGACUUGAGUGCAGAAGGGGAGAGUGGAAUUCCAUGUGUAGCGGUGAAAUGCGUAGAUAUAUGGAGGAACACCGGUGGCGAAAGCGGCUCUCUGGUCUGUAACUGACGCUGAGGCUCGAGAGCGUGGGGAGCAAACAGGAUUAGAUACCCUGGUAGUCCACGCCGUAAACGAUGAGUGCUAGGUGUUAGGCCCUUUCCGGGGCUUAGUGCCGCAGCUAACGCAUUAAGCACUCCGCCUGGGGAGUACGACCGCAAGGUUG